rnacentral:rRNA from 1 species
GAAUGGAAAGACCGGUACAAGCGAGGUAGGAGAAGAGUUGGCAAAUCCGCUCUUUAAUCUGAAGACGUGAUGUGGACUGAAAAUAAGUAGGGAAGCACGUGAGCUGACUGUCAAGAAAAGCCGCUAUUGUUUGCAGGAUACCCGUACCGUAAACCGACACAGGUGGAUGAGGAGAGAAUCCUAAGGCCGACGGGAGAAGCAUUGUUAAGGAACUCGGCAAAAUGACUCCGUAACUUCGGGAGAAGGAGUGCCAGUAAGAUGGCCGCAGAGAAUUGGCCCAAGCAACUGUUUAGCAAAAACACAGGUCUAUGCAAAACCGAAAGGUGAGGUAUAUGGGCUGACGCCUGCCCGGUGCUGGAAGGUUAAGGGGAGAGGUUAGCGCAAGCGAAGCUUUGAACUUAAGCCCCAGUAAACGGCGGCCGUAACGAUAACGGUCCUAAGGUAGCGAAAUUCCUUGUCGGGUAAGUUCCGACCCGCACGAAAGGCGUAAUGAUUUGGGCACUGUCUCAACAAUGCACCCGGUGAAAUUGAAAUACCAGUGAAGAUGCUGGUUACCUGCGCCAGGACGGAAAGACCCCAUGGAGCUUUACUCCAGCUUGAUACUGGGAUUCGGUAUUGCAUGUACAGGAUAGGUGGGAGGCUAGGAAAUGGUAACGCCAGUUGCCAUGGAGCCAAUGUUGGGAUACCACCCUUGCAGUACUGGGUUUCUAACCAGCAGCCGUGAUCCGGCUGGGGGACAAUGUCAGGUGGGGAGUUUGACUGGGGCGGUCGCCUCCGAAAGGGUAUCGGAGGCGCUCAAAGGUUCCCUCAGAAUGGUUGGAAACCAUUCGAAGAGUGCAAAGGCAGAAGGGAGCUUGACUGCGACACCGACGGGUGGAGCAGGUACGAAAGUAGGACUUAGUGAUCCGGUGGUAUAAAGUGGGAUUGCCAUCGCUCAACGGAUAAAAGCUACCCUGGGAUAACAGGCUUAUCACUCCCAAGAGUUCACAUCGACGGAGUGGUUUGGCACCUUGAUGUCGGCUCAUCGCAUCCUGGGGCUGAAGUAGGUCCCAAGGGUUGGGCUGUUCGCCCACUAAAGCGGUACGCGAGCUGGGUUCAGAACGUCGUGAGACAGUUCGGUCCCUAUCCGGCGUGGGCGUAAGAUAUUUGAGAGGAGCUGUCCUUAGUACGAGAGGACCGGGAUGGACUGGCCGCUGGUGUAUCUGUUGUCUUACCAAAGGCAUAGCAGAGUAGCCAAGCCGGGAAGGGAUAAACGCUGAAGGCAUCUAAGCGUGAAGCCCCCCUCAAGAUGAGAUAUCUCAUAACGUCAAGUUAGUAAGGCCCCUUGAAGACGACGAGGUAGAUAGGGCAGAGGUGGAAGUGUGGUAACACAUGGAGCUGACUGUUACUAAUAGGUCGAGGGCAUAACCA